rnacentral:lncRNA from 1 species
UUAAAAAACAACAAAAUAAUUAACCACCAGUACAGCCCUGUGUUUUUUUUCUCUUUGGCAGCCCCUCAGAGACGCAGUUUCCCAUCACUUGACUUCCAGACCAAGCAGCACCAGCAAUAACCAGCAGCUCUGCCAUGGCUGAGCUGCAGCAGCCCUGGGCCAGGACACACACAGCCCCCAGGACAGGACACCCCGGGGUGAGCUGCUGCUGAGCACCCUGAGCUCCCUCAUCCCUGCUGAAACCUCCCACUCCACUCCUGAACUUCUCCAGGAGGCUUUCCAGAGGGAGUUCCUCCACUGGCCACCCUCAGGAGGACAGAUGGGCUGGUGUGGCCUGGACAAAGAGGCUGCUUUGCUGCAGGAACACAUCACACCACCACAUACCUCACCCCAAUUAGCGCAAACCCGCCUGGGCCUUAAUUGGGCCUGACACGCGCCCGCUGAAAGAGAUUCCCCAGGAAUUAAAGCGCUACUUCUCUAGUUUGAGUUGGCUGGUGAUGUGAAACAUGACAUGAUCUUGGAGGAUUUUCUGUGCUUGCCAUGAAACAAGCCUGCCACAGGUAUCAAGCGGGCUUUGUGUUGGGGCUGUAAUCAUGUUACAAAUUGAACGCUUCCACAUGUGCGUGCUGGCACAUCCACCCUCGGCUAUCUCACACGUAUCUGCCCCAAGGUACAGAUGCUGAGGUCCUGACAUAGCAUAAUAUGGAUCUAAAUAUAUUUUCCAGAUUGCCUUAGCACAUGCUAAUGAAAAUGAGGAGUAAAAGGCCCGAAAGAAGCAGCUGUUUAAAAUUUUCUUCAAUCCCUGAAAAUCAACUUCUUAAUUACUGAUAAUUUAAGCAUCAAAAUCACCACUAACCCUCUUCUCCCACUAGACCCUCCCAAGCUGGGAGGCCUGCUUGAAGACUCUUGGGCAAAACUUUUUCUUAGAAGUGUAGCAUUUCAUCAAAUGUCUUUAGCUUUUCUGGAAUUAAUUAGUAUUAAAAUAAAGCAGGGAAAAGGCAAGUGCCUGCCA